GAAUCUGAAACAGAGAUGUCACCUCCAGGAGUGUCAUCUGUUCCGUGAGACAGACUCUAGUCCCCCGGGUCAUUUAGGAACACUCCCCCCCAAACACACCCCUCCUCGCUGUGGUGCCCACGACGAAUAUUUGCGCUCCACGAGGGCACCGAAAACUCCACUUUUCAUAAACCCCAUCAACAAGUGAAUCGUUUAUUUUAUUAUCGGUGAUUUUCAAUGGAGAAAUAGAGGGUCUAAUCCAAUCGCCUUUAGGCAGGCAAUAUUCCCACUUAACCCAAUCGGCGUGUUGCAAGGGGCAGUCCGCAGGACUGCCACCUCAUUUCCUUGCAGUACUGGGGUCCAGGCUGGGGAGCUGGGGGCGAGGCAAACAUUUGACGAAUGAUAGUGACCUCAAAAUUAGUGUUGCUCCAAGUGCGUGGGGAUCAUCGGUGUUAACAGAGACCUGCCAAAUUGUGACAUAUGCAUUUGCAGCAAGACUCGCGUAGACGUGCCUUUGCAAAUGUGUUCGUUCGUAUAGAAAAGUAUUGACUUUUGUGUUUGUUAAUUUGAAUUAUUCAAAAAUACAAUAAAGAGCCUUAUUAAAUCACUGUGAGAUUUUCCGAGAGAUGGAAAUUAUUCAUUAUAUAGCGGGGGGGGGGAAGGAGGGGGGAAGAGAGAAGGGGGAGAGAAGGGGAGGGAGCACGAUCUCAUUAAAAACAAAACUUAGGAGAGGCGAGAAGAGUAGAGUAUCCUACAAAAGUCUGGUGAUUGCUAUGUAUCGCUUGCCAACGCACAACGGGACUUUUUAUUUCUCUUUAUAUAUCUAUUCGUUUCAUUUAUAUAUUCCCUCCUGGUCGCUGGUCAAACUGCCGAGGGGAUGGAGAAAUUUCAAGCACCGCCCCGUUACUCGGCGGCUCGUAGUGCAAAGCACUCGUCGGGUUCCGCGGGCAGGACUGAAGAGGAAACAGCAGGAAAGAAAAAACAAGCUGCGAUUCUUUGCUGGGCGGAGGGGCGAAGAUGUCCGCUGCAUCCUAGGCUUCCCAGAGCCCGCUGCCGGACCCCUCGCUUAG
rnacentral:lncRNA from 1 species